GUUAUGCUUCUAUGUCCUUCAGUAUUUUGUCACUUACCAUCUUUGCUUUUUCAUUUCCAUAACAGCAUCACCCCCUAACUUUUUACACUUUGAUUUCAUUCAUCCUCUUUUAUAAUAAGUUAAACGAAUACAGAUAAUAACUGUCACCAACAUAAUUAUGCCUAUAAUGAAGUUAUCUUUUUCCCCCAGUCCCAACAUGUAACUCAGCCAGCUACUGAAGGAGCAGAGAGAAGGAAAGUUGAAACUGUGGUGCCAGUGGUUUGGUCUGCACACUCAGUUCAGGCUGCUGUCUCUAGUCUGGAGGAUAGGCCUCAGCCACAGCUUCAAACACUGCCACUGCCACAGACACCUCCACCUCAGGUGCCACUGCCACCACUUCAGCCACAACUACAGCCUGUAGUUGGUCAUGGUGCAUCAACUACUGGAAGCAAAAGAGUGCCUAAAAUAGCAAAGGUCAUCAUAACAACGGCACACAGCAGGAGAAGUCGGAUUGUAAAAGGAUCCUUGGAGCUUGUUCUGGAACAUAUUGUUCAAGGACGUCUCAACAGACUUCCACAUGCCUUUAUGUCUGUCCCGGGCAUGUCUGAUGCAGUGGUGCGAGAAGUGCUUAAUGUUGUGAAAAAGGAGUGCAAGAAGCUAACAAGCCUGAAAUUCAAGUCAGUUCUCCGAAAGAAUAGCAUCAACGAUUUAAAGGACUUUAAAAUGAUGGAUGUUGUUGAAGAGUGGAGGAGGAACGCACCAACCUUUCUUAAGUUUUUAGAGUCUGCAAGUUCAGUCUCCACGGAGGUCACUGAUUCAGGAACACGGCCUCUGUCUCACAGCAAGACAAAUAAAUUCAAAUUACCAAUGGCUGGGUCGAUGCUCCUACAAGCACGCUGCCAGUCAAUGACGGCACAUAUGUAUCGGAAUGCUCUGGUUAUGUGUCGUGGAGGGGCCAAAAGACGUUGUUUUCAACGGUUAAAUCGAUUGGGUAUCUGUAUAUCUGAUGGAAGGGCUCUUGCAAAGCUGAAAGAAAUUGCACAAGCAUGGGACAGCAAGUUCCUCAAAUGGAAAGAUGAUGUAUGCAAACAGUAUACAUCAUCAAGCCCUGCCUCUGGAGGAGCAGAUGGAGAGUUUACGCCAGAGCUGCUAAACUCGGAUGAAUGCCAGGCAAGUUGUAUUACAAAAUAAACAAGUUAUGAAGAUACACCACAUGAAACAUUAUCAGGUAUUAUGUAAUAAACACUACUAAAUGUGUUUACCACAGGACAACACUGAAAGCAGCACGACACCUCCAGAGCAUGAUCCAUCCAUUUGGAUAGAAUCUGAUGUCAUGACACCAUGCGAGCUGUUGUGUUCAGAGGAAGAAGAAGAGGUAUUCACACAAAACUACAAAUAGCUAAAAAUCUAUAAAUAGAUCACAUAAAAGAGUGACGUGAUGGCUCUAAAGUAGCCGAUUCAUCCUGCUAUGCUUAUACAGAGUGGAUUUUGAUAUUUACAUACGGUUCACUCUGUUUCUUUGUUGUGCCAGCCCAGUGAGGAAAAUAAUGCAGCAGGUACCUCCACACCUCUUCUGCUCAGUGGAAAAGAUCUACCUCAGACCGCCGUGCAUCCUCAUGCUACAAAUCAGAUUACAAUUGAUAACUUGGAUCGCAGUGUGACCCCUCAUACAAUAACAAUGAUCAACCAAAAAAAAAUGUACCAUUGGAUGAUAAUGGUUGGUAAUGAGGAGAGAGUCAGUGCAACUCAUCUGCCACAAGAAAACAGAAGGUCUGUGCUAGAAGUCCCACUAACAGACAUACUACGCAAUCAGAAUG